UUCUUGCUCAAUUGUGACACCAGGUUCAGCAAGGAGAAUAAGGACAAAAUCAAUCCUUAUGUAUACAUGCCUUUUGGGAAUGGUCCUAGAAACUGCCUUGGCAUGAGGUUUGCUCUCAUUAACAUGAAGCUUGCAGUUGUCAAAAUCUUGCAAAACUUUUCUGUGCAGCCUUGUGAGGAAACAGAGAUUCCUUUGAAAUUAAGUAAGAAACUGAUUCUUUCUCCAGAAAAUUCUAUUGUUCUGAAAGUUACAUCAAGAGAUGGAGCCAAAAAUGAAGGCUGAUUCUGUUCUCAAGUUCUGAUAUAUUCUUUAAUGGAUGCACUAUAAAUACCUAAGGUUUUAAUUUACCCUAGAAGAAAAAUCUAGAUGACUAUAAGUUUAAUCUGCUGCACUUUGAAAGUUGAAUAUUCAGAGUCUUUAAUUAUUUUUAAUUGUCUUUGUAGAGUCUUGAUUAUUAUGUGUGAAAGGAAAAUUAUUGUUCAGUAAUGUAUAUGUCCCUUCAUAUUAAAAGUCCAUUUUCCCAGAGAUAGCAAAAUAUGUUUCAUUUUUAUACUGAUUAAAGUUUUCUCAUUAAUAUUGUCAA